rnacentral:piRNA from 5 species
AGUGGUUAGGAUUCGGCGCUCUCA